UACGUAGGUGGCAAGCGUUGUCCGGAAUUAUUGGGCGUAAGGCGCGCGCAGGCGGUUAUGUAAGUCUGCUGUUAAAGCCCCGGGCUCAACCUCGGUUCGCAUUGGAAACUGUUUAACCUGGGUGCAGAAGAGGAAAUUGGUAUUCCACGUGUAGCGGUGAAAUGCGUAGAUAUGAGGAGGAACUCCAGUGGCGAAGGCGCCUUUCUGGUCUGUAGCUGCCGCUGAGGCGUGAAAGCGUGGGCAGGAAACAGG
rnacentral:rRNA from 1 species